GCGCAUCACUAGGAUGUUACACAAAUUCUUUUUUGUUUGAAAAAUGUUCCAGAGAUAAAAGUGCAAAAGAAGAUAAUGAAGUGUUUUAAUAUGAAAUAUUCAAAACUGAAGCAUGAUUGUCUGCUUAAGACACUUCCCAAGUAUACAGGAUUAAUAUUUCUUUUCUCACAGCUGGCGCGGAGAUCUCCACCGUGAACCCAGAACAGUAUUCAAAGCGCUUUUUGGACUUUAUUGGCCACAUCUUGACGUAACCUCCUGCGCAGCCUCGGACAGACAUGAACAUUGGAUGGACAGAGGUGGCUUCGGUGUAGGAAAAAUGAAAACCAAACUCAGUGAAGUACUCAUCUUGCAGGAAGCAAACCUCCUUGUUUACAUCUUCAGGCCAAGAUGACUGAUUUGGGGGCUACUCGCUUUACAGCUACCUGAUUUUCCCAGCAUCGUUCUAGCUAUUUCUGACUUUGUGUAUAUGUGUGUGUGUGUUGGGGGGGGGGGGUGAGUGUGUGCGCGCGUGUGCAUUUUAAAAGUCAUAAAUUAAUUAAAACAGAUCCACUUCGGUCA
rnacentral:sRNA from 1 species